rnacentral:tRNA from 1 species
GGGCGGUUAGCUCAGCGGGAGAGCAUUCGCUUCACACGCGAAGGGUCACAGGUUCAAUCCCUGUACCGCCCA